GGCUGGUCCGAUGGCAGUGGGUUAUCAGAACUUAUUAACAUUAGUGUCACUAAAGUUGGUAUACCACCCCCCACUGCUAAAUUAGACUGGCUUUAA
ensembl:misc_RNA Y_RNA Y RNA